AUGUGGAAAUGUAAGUUUUGCACCUUUUCCUCCAGUGGCCAAGGAAAAAUAAUACAGCAUUAUAAAGAGCAUCAUGGACAUCACCGGAGGUGUUCAGGCCUUGUCUGCAUUUAUCAAGACUGUUUGAACACAUUUCAAACCCAAACUGAACUUAAAAACCACUUGAAAGAACAUUCAAAAGGUCAUAAAAUUGUGACCAAGUUAUGCUGUGAUUUGUGUACAUUCUCAGAGCCUAGUAACAUUAUCAAAUAUUGUGCCCAUCUGAAGACUCAUUUGAGGAACAGGGAAACAGUUAAAUGUCCGUUUGCAGGUUGCUCUUUCAAGUCCAAUGUACUGUCAACAUUUACUUCUCAUAGAAGUCGCUAUCAUAGGUUGUCCACCAUAAACAGUUUAAGACCACAGCUUUUUGUACACCAUGAACUUACAAAUGCAGUGCUAGAAGAGGAUUCUGUUUCUGGGACUGAGGCAUCAACUUCAUAUGAUUCAGUACCCGAGGGUGUACCUCCUCUUGAAAAUGGAGAGUCAAUUAAACGUCAGUUGGCAUCUUUAUUUAUCCGUAUGCAAACAAUUCUGCAUGUUUCAAAUUCUGCAGUACAGGAAGUAAUUGAUGAGUUAUUUGACAUUGGAGACUUUGCCUAUAAAAAUAUUAAAACAAUUAUAGAGAAAGUUUUGGAGGAAAAUAACUGUGCAGCUGAUGCCUCUGUUGUAACAUCAUUGUCUGAUGAAAUACAAUCGUUGAACCCACUCAAAUUUCUUUCAAGAGCAGGGCCUUUGGGCACAGAACGUAAAAGGCAGUCAUUUUACAGAAAGAUUUUUACAGUGAUUGAACCGGUUGAAUAUGUGCUAAAUCCACAAGAAAAAAAUCAUUCAUUUGUUUAUGUUCCUAUUUUAGAUUUGUUAAGUAAGUUGUUGGAAAGAAGUGAGAUUCUAGAGACAUUACAGAGAUCCAAUGGACAGGAAAGUCAUUACUGCUCAUUUCAAGAUGGUGAAUACUUUAAAGAAAACAAACUUUUUGCUGAAGAAUUAGGCAUAGCUCUUGGCUUAUACAUUGAUGAUUUUGAAAUCUGUAAUCCAUUGGGAACUUCAAGAAAGAAACAUAAAUUGUGUGGUAUAUAUUGGGUGAUAGCUAACUUACCCAUAAGACUUAGAUCAACAUUAUCAUCAAUUUAUCUAGCUGCAUUGUGCAAAACUGUACAUAUAAAACAAUAUGGUUACAGCAAAGUUUUGGAGCCUCUGAUUAGAGACCUUCAGCAUUUAGAGACGACUGGUGUAUUUGUGAAAAGACUUGGGUCUUUUGUCAAAGGUACUGUUUUGUAUGUGUCUGCCGAUAACUUAGGUGCACACUCCCUUGCUGGAUACCAAGAGUCUUUCAACGUGGAGAAAUUUUGCAGAUUUUGUUUGGCUAACCUUAAAGAUAUUCAGCAUCAUGAUGUCAGAAGUGGGGCAUUUACUUUGAGAACACCAGAACUGUUUGAUGAAGCCAUUAAUGUGCUUAACACAACUAAUGCCUCGUGUGUUCAUGGUUUGAAGAGAAACUGUCCUUUAAGCAGACUUGCCCACUUUCAUCCUGCAAAAGGUUUUCCACCUGAUUUUCUGCACGAUUUAUUGGAGGGAAUUGUACCUGUGGAACUAUGCAUAUGUCUUUCAGAUCUUAUUGCUAAAAAGUAUUUCACAUUGAAUGAUCUUAAUGAUAGAAUAGCAUCAUUUCCUUUUCAGUUUUCUGACAAAACUAACAGGCCUCAGACAAUACCAACAAACUUUUCAAAAAAAAGAACAAUUGGUGGCAACGGACACGAGAACUGGGCACUUCUGAGAUUUCUUCCACUGUUGAUUGGCCAUCAUAUUCCAGAGAGUGAAAAGACUUGGUCUGUGAUCCUUGAACUGAAAGACAUUGUGGAGGUGUUAUCAAGCCCCUCAUUCACAACAGAAACCCUGUGCUACCUACAAGCCAAAAUUUCUGACCACAGACAGUUGCUCUUAGAAUUAUUUCCUGGUACUAAAUUACGCCCUAAACAUCAUUAUCUUGAACAUUAUCCUGUUCUGAUUCAGAAAUUUGGACCAUUAAUUGAGUUCUGGACAAUACGAUUUGAGGCAAAACAUUCUUUUUUUAAAAGAAUGGUUCACAAUACUGGCAAUUUCAAAAAUAUUCUGCACACGUUGGCCACAAGACAUCAACUGAUGUUGUCAUAUUACUUGGAGAUGCCAACUAUUUUCAAGCCAAGCAUUGAGACUGGACGAGUAUCAGUUGUGUCUGUGGGCAUCCUAGAUGCUGCAAUCAGAGAGGCUGUAUGGAAUAAGUUUGAAGGUCUGGACUCUGUUUCACUCACCUCCAUUGCUUACUUGAAUGGGACAAAAUAUUCUAAAGGCAUGGUACUCUCAGUUGGACAUACGUGUGGACUGCCAGAUUUUGGGAGAGUAUUGGAGAUCUGUGUAGUGGAUGGUUGCAUAUCAUUCAUUACUGAACUAUUCACAGCGACCUUCCAAGAGCAUCUCAGGUGUUACCAGCUCGCCAGAAGAGAUCCUGCAACAAUUGUGGUCAUUGAUCCGGACCGUCUGAAUGACUACAUUCCCCUUGCUGCAUACCCUGUUGAGGAAAAGCUGCUCGUCACUCCAAGGACAUUCAUGUUACAUUAA
rnacentral:lncRNA from 1 species